UAGGGAAUCUUCCACAAUGGGCGAAAGCCUGAUGGAGCAACGCCGCGUGUGUGAUGAAGGGUUUCGGCUCGUAAAACACUGUUGUAAGAGAAGAAUGACAUUGAGAGUAACUGUUCAAUGCGUGACGGUAUCUUACCAGAAAGGAACGGCUAAAUACGCGCCAG
rnacentral:rRNA from 1 species